rnacentral:lncRNA from 1 species
CGGCCGCUGGCGGACAAAAUAUAAGCCCACUACUGUGAUGCUUGACUGGAAGCUGAAACACAUGCCCAGGCCUGCAGUGCGAGAGGGGACAUCAGCUCAGGGACUUUGUAGGACUUUUCCACCUCCACAUGGAGUAGGGAUCUUGGCUCAUGUUCCAUGUCUGUCUCCUUUGGCCCUAGGACAGACACACUUCCAAGUUUUCAUGAUGGAAGACCGUAAGCAGUCCCACCUACGCAGGGCUUUCGAGAGAGCGAUGGUUACCUGUGAUAAGUCCUGCCGUAAGGAAGAGGUGGAUGAGCGAGUCUGAGAAGGUGCUGGCUACCAUGCCCAAGCUGGCCAGCACCCCCCCCAGCAUCAUGGUCACUCGACAGCCGAAACGUUUGAUCAGGAUGCUGCACAGAGGUCCUGCAGUUUUCUCCGCUACAGAAGGAGUGGUCAGACCGGCUGUUGUGUGGUGUGGCAUCUGGAGGGCACGGCAAACCCUGCACUAACCUAAGUCGAGAACCAUGGCAGUUUGGGAUCAUGAUCUACAUGAACAUCACACCCUUGCUUCUUGUGGUUUGCUCCGGAAAGAACCUCCUAGAACAACAUGCCCCUCCAGCACCCCCCCUUCCACCUACCCCACAAUCUUCCAACCUCAUACAUUCGACCUGGGUCCUGGACCACUCUGC